rnacentral:rRNA from 1 species
GCUUAACCGGAGAAGUGCAUCGGAAACUGGGAGACUUGAGUGCAGAAGAGGACAGUGGAACUCCAUGUGUAGCGGUGGAAUGCGUAGAUAUAUGGAAGAACACCAGUGGCGAAGGCGGCUGUCUAGUCUGUAACUGACGCUGAGGCUCGAAAGCAUGGGUAGCAAACAGGAUUAGAUACCCUGGUAGUCCAUGCCGUAAACGAUGAGUGCUAGGUGUUGGAGGGUUUCCGCCCUUCAGUGCCGCAGCUAACGCAUUAAGCACUCCGCCUGGGGAGUACGACCGCAAGGUUGAAACUCAAAGGAAUUGACGGGGGCCCGCACAAGCGGUGGAGCAUGUGGUUUAAUUCGAAGCUACGCGAAGAACCUUACCAGGUCUUGACAUCUUCUGCCAAUCUUAGAGAUAAGACGUUCCCUUCGGGGACAGAAUGACAGGUGGUGCAUGGUUGUCGUCAGCUCGUGUCGUGAGAUGUUGGGUUAAGUCCCGCAACGAGCGCAACCCUUAUUAUCAGUUGCCAGCAUUAAGUUGGGCACUCUGGUGAGACUGCCGGUGACAAACCGGAGGAAGGUGGGGAUGACGUCAAAUCUUCAUGCCCCUUAUGACCUGGGCUACACACGUGCUACAAUGGACGGUACAACG